rnacentral:rRNA from 1 species
CGGCGAACGGGUGAGUAACGCGUGGAUGACCUACCUUGAGUGGGGGAUAACCCGGGGAAACUCGGGCUAAUACCGCAUAUGAUCGAGAGAUCAAAGGGGCGCAAGUCCCGCCAUGAGAGGGGUCCGCGUACGAUUAGCUAGUUGGUAGGGUAAUGGCCUACCAAGGCGACGAUCGUUAGCCGGCCUGAGAGGGUGAUCGGCCACACUGGAACUGAGACACGGUCCAG